GGGCCUAUAGCUCAGCUGGUUAGAGCGCACGCCUGAUAAGUGUGAGGUCCCUGGUUCGAUCCCAGGUAGGCCCA
rnacentral:tRNA from 1 species